UACGGAGGGUGCAAACGUUGUUCGGAAUUACUGGGCGUAAAGGGCGCGUAGGCGGCCCGCUAAGUCGAACGUGAAAUCCCCGAGCUCAACUCGGGAACUGCGUCCGAUACUGGUGGGCUUGAAUCCGGGAGAGGGAUGCGGAAUUCCAGGUGUAGCGGUGAAAUGCGUAGAUAUCUGGAGGAACACCGGUGGCGAAGGCGGCAUCCUGGACCGGCAUUGACGCUGAGGCGCGAAAGCUAGGGGAGCAAACGGG
rnacentral:rRNA from 1 species